AGGAACUCUGCAUUACCUCCCUUGCCUUCCUCUCCUGCCCCUGGAGAAAUGCGGUCUUUGGAAUGACAAGAGCAGCUCCUGAUUUUCCUUGGUAGGAAGCACUGUCUAAGGGAAAUAGCUAGAUUCAUUUCAUUCGUGCAUGAUUUGCUCAGCAGACAUGCAGUUGGGCUACUAUCUACCCAGGAUUCUAUAAGGUGCCGCAUACCUUCUAGUAGUUAUGUUGGCUUUCAUCUCUGAUACCAAAAUGUGGAAUUGGAAACUUGUGGCUGAGGGGCCAUGUGAUAUCAAGGAGGGUCCCUCCUGGCUCUGUGCUUCAAUCUAUUCUUCAUAAUAUGCAGCCAGGUUCUAUCCUUUCUCUGCCUGGUGGGAAUAGUGUGAAGGCAGGCAGGGUGACAUCUUAUUUGGGGUUGGUUAGUAGCAGGUGUCAUUCUAAUAAUGCAAGGCUGUCUUACCAAUAGGUAGACCUGGCUGACCUCCUACACAUGAAUGAACUCAAUUACCACUGAUUUUGUUUUAAAAAUGGGGAAGCUGGUAUUUUUGAAGCUGCUAUAUUUUUCUAUUUCUCUGUUAAUUUCUUUGUAAUAAUUGGGUUGGAGUCUUAUUAUUUGGUGGGGGGAGGGAGCUUUUAUUAAGGUAGGAAAUUAUAUAAGGCAGAAGUUACAAGGCACAGUCUCUGCUGUGUUUAAAAUCCUUUUGUAUUUGUUGCCAGUAUUUGAAACUUGAGAGAUUGCCUGUUAAAAAAGCUGGUUUUCUGGGUGGAGGAUGGGGCAUGCCAUUAAAUCUGGUUUGCUGUAAUCCCCCUGCCCUGGAACCCUCCUCCCACCCAUCUAAUCCACCCCACCACUGUACUUCACUCAUCUAUGCCACCUGCCUGGUCCUGGUGGACAUUUGAGUUUACAAACCUGUGGCAUAAAGGGUGGUAUACAUAUUUUUCAUUACUUUCAGUUCCUCUGGUGACUAGUUGAAGAGAGAAGGUCUUUACUGGGAUUUGUGUUCUGCUUCCCAACCAGGAAACAUGGGACUGAGAUACUUUGGGACCCAGGUUGGCUUUUUCGACACAUGGCAAAGAUAAGCAUGAUCUUUUUAGGAAUAAUCUGGUUGAUAUUUUUUUAGCAGACAGAAGAGUUAGGUGCUGGAAGGGAUGACCUUGGUGGUAGGUCUCUUCCCCAAGGACUCUCAGAAGGCAUGAAGAUUGGGGUGGGCCAGGCGAGGGCCUCCAGGCAAGUCACAGUCGGGGCUGGUGCAUAUUAAUCCUUCUAACAUGGCAGUAGUUGUGCUGCUUCUGACUUGGAUCAAUAAUUCCUUGUGUCUAAUAAAACCGAAUAGUACCUCAUUGCUGUCAAAUCAAAACCAGAAUGGAUCUUCCCCUUUAUUCCCAUAAAGUGUAACCUGCAGGGAGGGGUCCUUGGGAACAGGACACCUGGGCAAAAAGCAGGAACUUCUGGAAUAGUUUGGCCUAAAGGACUUCCAGUCCUGCCCUGGGUGACAUCUCCACAACUCUAUUGGCUGGAAUGGGAAAACAUGUAGCUCAAAAGUAAAUGUUUGAAAAGAGAUUUUUUUCAAAGAUAGCUUUUAACUUGGUGUUUAAGAGGAUGUGUGUGUUCGUGCGCACACGGACGAGCACAUUUAACGAGAUAAAAUGGCCUUGCCUAAGUCUCAGAGGGCCCUUCAUAAUAUUUAUCUCAUGUCUCUCCUCUCAAAGUAUUUGUCUCCAAGAUUGACCACACAAGAGGAGUCCCUUGGUUGUCAAACCAGGAACAGGGCAAACCUGCAAAAGGGCCAAGUGCCAAGGCCCCCAAACCUGUGUGCUCUAAACCAGCCCCCCUUGUCCCAGACAAAGAACCCAGGAUGCAAGCUCGGAAAAGGUGAUGACCGCCUUAUUAAUCUGACGGCAGUCUACCCUUCAAAGGUACCACGCCGCGGUGCUGGUUCCCUGUCCUGGGAGGCCUGCACUUUGUCCUGUUUGAAUGGCAAACAUAACCAGGGUGGUGAAGAGAGUCUUUUGUUUUGUACCCAAGGGCUGCACAACCCCCUUCUGACCUGGUUUUGUGUGUUAGUGGAUCAAGGAUUGGGACAGACCUUAGCUUGUGUAAUCUUAGAGUUCAAAGGAAACCAGGUUCUAGGCAGGGUGGCUGACCAGGAUCCUGCAUGAAUUCCUCAGAUGCCUUCGGCCCCUGAGCCAGAGUCCUCUGGUUGUGUUGUACCUGGGGUUGCCUAAUUGGGAGCAAAAACAGAGGCUACCCACUGGGCCAUGCUGUGGUUCAUGGUCCAAAGGGACCACGGUGUGGAAUUGGUCAGGUCCAGAGUCGGCCCUGGGCACUAGGGUCGCUGUGGGUCCAGGGCUUUGGCAAGGGCAAGAGCCCUGUCUGGCUUCCUCCCUGAGCUCCCCAGCCAGCAUUCCUGCUGCGGGUGCAGACCCAAGCCUGACUGGUGAAAUUCAGAGACCCUCAGGUAGGAGUUCAGAUGAUCAGUCAUAAGUCAGGCUUGUUCUGCUCUGCACAUAUUUGGAGCUUAGUCCUUGUGACCAAGCCCUCAUUUUGAGUCCUGAUUACCAGGUCUCUUGUCUGGCUGCCCUGUGUUUCUUCUUUCCUUCACUGGUUAAUGAGGCCUUCUCAGAUCAUUACCUCAACUCCAGACUACCCUAACCACCUGCCAUCCCACGUAUACUGCCCACUCCAGGACCCCUGGCUACCAGAGCAGCCACUUCAAGCCCCUUGCUUCCUGGCAGGAGGGGGUCUCACUGUUAGCCUCUGCCCCUCAGUCUCAUCUGGUUCUUUGGUUCUUCAUGUGCCAGCACCAAAGAGCAGGGCCAGACCUGAAUGGGGAGGUCAGAGGGAACAAGGCCUCUGGGUAGGUCUAGACCGGUCCUGUUUAUGAGAAAUCUAACAUCAGGCAUAUAUGUAGGUUUAAAUUUUCUAGUAGCCACAUUAGAAAAAAAUAAUAAAACCAAUGAAAUGUAAUUAUUUUAUUUAGCCCAGUAUGUCCAAAAUAGAUAAUACUUCAACUUAAAUAUACAAAAAUUUUUAAUGUGGGCAGCCCGGGUGGCUCAGAGUUUUAGCGCCGCCUUCAGCCCAGGGUGGGAUCCUGGAGACGCGUGAUCGAGUCCCAUGUCAGGCUCCCUGCAUGGAGCCUGCUUCUCCCUCUGCCUGUGUCUCUGCCUCUCUCUCUCUCUCUCUCUCUCUGUCUCUCAUGAAUAAAUAAAUAAAAUCUUUUAAAAAAA
rnacentral:lncRNA from 1 species